UACGUAGGUGGCAAGCGUUGUCCGGAUUUAUUGGGCUUAAAGGGUGCGUAGGCGGUGACCUAAGUCAGUUGUGAAAUACGGCAGCUUAACUGUCGAGGUGCAAUUGAUACUGGGUUACUUGAGUACUGAUGAGGUAUGCGGAAUGGACGGUGUAGCGGUGAAAUGCUUAGAUAUCGUCCAGAACACCGAUAGCGAAGGCAGCAUACUAAGGAGUAACUGACGCUGAGGCACGAAAGUGUGGGGAUCAAACAGG
rnacentral:rRNA from 1 species